GGUAAAAUGGCUGAGUUUAGGCGGUAAAUUGUAAAUUUAUUAACAAGAUUAUUUCUUUUUUAUCA
rnacentral:tRNA from 1 species